rnacentral:tRNA from 1 species
AUGCGAUGUGGCCGGCGGCGCUGCGCGGCGCGCUGACCGUCGCGAUCGCCGCCGAGGAGAUCGCCGCCGAUCCCGCCGGCUUCGCCUUC